AAAGCUGUAUAUUCUAGUUGUAGGUCUUUCUAGUUGUGUUAUGUGGGAUGCUGCCUCAACACGACUUGAUGAGCAGUGCCAUGUCUGCACCCAGGAACGAACCAGCGAAACCCUGGGCCGCCGAAGCAAAGCCCGCAAACUUAAUCACUCAUCCAGGGGGCUGGCGCCACAUUUGUGCAUUGUUAACCAAGAAUCUGAUUUAACCAUUCACCGUUGGUGUGAUACAUUCCAAGGUUACUCCUUCAAGGCAACUGCAACAUCCCAAAGGACCUGAUAAUGACCUCCUUAAAAUACAACCAUCAAAGAAGAUAGUGCGCCUAUUUCCCAGCUUCUGUGGGCAGGUGAAAAAAAAAAAAAAAUCUUCCUGAAUGAGCCACUUAUAGAGCAAAGAUUCUGAAAGAAAAACACACAUUUGAAGAAAAAGUCUAUCAAUAAUGCUUCCUCAAAAGGCAACUUUUGGUUCUCCAUUGGCAAAGGAUCCCAUCUCUUCAUCUAUAUUGUGUUUAACCUUGAUUUCAAACAGCGAAAACGAGCUCUGGCAACUUCAGAAGCUAGCCAUCAUCUCCUACUAGCCAGCAAGUCUUAGAUAAAGAGUGAAAACGUAGUGGUGAUGACUCAAGAGCACAGCCCUGCCUGUGCUUGGAACUGGGCACCAGUAGUCAGCAAACAGACAUGGAUGCAGGAAAAGAGAUGGGAGGGCAGCCAGUCGAACUUCAUCUAACGGUCCUUGUAGCAGGAUUUAACAUCUAUGUGUUAUGCCAUCAUGAUGUAAUGGUUGCCAUGUUGCCUUCUUUUCAAGAAUUUUCUAAAGAACAAUGUACUAAUUGUAUAAAAAUAAUAUACAUUCUUUAUUAAAUUUGGAGUAACAUAGUAAAUCACAAAGAAGAGUGAACAUUAAGAGAACAUUAUUCCAUAGAUCUCUUUAUGCAUAUAUAUAUAGAGAGAGAAAAUAAACAGAUAAGCUGUAAAACUUUGUAAAUGGUAUCAUGUUAUAUAAGGCUUUUAACUUCACUUGAGUUUCGUGGUGGAAGAAAAAUCUUAAGUGAAGCUAAGAAAACUGCUAACAUUCAGAUAAUGGUUUAGCCAGAAGUAAUAAUAAUUCUUUAGCAAAAGAGUUUUUCCUAAAAGAUCUAAAAAGCUUAGUAAAACCAUUAAUAAAUGGAAUCUUUGUGUUUUAACAUGAUUUCUCAAUUUUAGAGAGUAUUUAUUGACCUUCUACUUAGGAAGAAAAAAUGAAGAAAUGCAUCUACCUCUCAAAUAUAUUAUAUUACUAUUUUUACUGCACUUAGUCUCCAAAUGCUCUUCCCACAGUUCUUCU
rnacentral:lncRNA from 1 species